GUUUCUCUGGUGUCAACUAAAGAGUUUCUUCCUCUUAAACGAAUCAGUCUGCUUGAACAAACUCGGUCUAAACUUGAACCUGAACCCAGUGAUGUCUCCCUCAGCAGUGAUUGGUCCAAAGACAGGGUUUCCAACUUUUGAUCAGAACAACAUUCAUCCUCAGUGAGGUGAAAUGUGAAAGUGUGUGAGGCGUAAAUGUGAGUUUACCAGCAUGUAUCAGAGGAAGAACAAAGAAGAGGAAGCCACUUCUGCUUUAACCACACAGACUGUAGAACAUGAGAAUCUGAACAAAGA